rnacentral:rRNA from 1 species
AGGUUAAGUGAAUAAGGGCGCACGGUGGAUGCCUUGGC